UACGUAGGGUGCGAGCGUUGCCCGGAUUUAUUGGGCGUAAAGGGCGCGUAGGCGGCUCUGCACGUCCGUUGUGAAAUCGCCCGGCUCAACUGGGCGGGGGUCAGCGGAUACGGCGGAGCUUGAGCAAGCUAGGGGGCAAUGGAAUUCCCGGUGUAGUGGUGGAAUGCGUAGAUAUCGGGAGGAACACCAGUGGCGAAGGCGGUUCUCUGGGCCUUACCUGACGCUGAGGAGCGAAAGCGUGGGGAGCGAACAGG
rnacentral:rRNA from 1 species